AUUGAACGCUGGCGGCAUGCCUUACACAUGCAAGUCGAACGGCAGCACGGGAGCAAUCCUGGUGGCGAGUGGCGAACGGGUGAGUAAUAUAUCGGAACGUGCCCAGUCGUGGGGGAUAACGUAGCGAAAGCUACGCUAAUACCGCAUACGAUCUAUGGAUGAAAGCGGGGGAUCGCAAGACCUCGCGCGAUUGGAGCGGCCGAUAUCAGAUUAGGUAGUUGGUGAGGUAAAGGCUCACCAAGCCGACGAUCUGUAGCUGGUCUGAGAGGACGACCAGCCACACUGGGACUGAGACACGGCCCAGACUCCUACGGGAGGCAGCAGUGGGGGAAUUUUUGGGACAAUGGGCGAAAGCCUGAUCCAGCAAUGCCGCGUGCAGGAAGAAGGCCUCGGGUUGUAACUAGCUUUGUACGGUAACGAAAGGUUAGUAGAAUAA
rnacentral:rRNA from 1 species